rnacentral:rRNA from 1 species
AGAACGAACGCUGGCGGCACGCCUAACACAUGCAAGUCGAGCGCCCAGCAAUGGGAGCGGCGGACGGGUGAGUAACACGUGGGAAUAUGCCUUUCGGUACGGAACAACUCAGGGAAACUUGAGCUAAAUGCCGUAUACGCCCUUACGGGGAAAGAUUUAUCGCCGAAAGAUUAGCCCGCGUCUGAUUAGCUAGUUGGUGAGGUAAUGGCUCACCAAGGCUUCGAUCAGUAGCUGGUUUGAGAGAACGACCAGCCACACUGGGACUGAGACACGGCCCAGACUCCUACGGGAGGCAGCAGUGGGGAAUCUUGGACAAUGGGGGAAACCCUGAUCCAGCGAUGCCGCGUGAGUGAUGAAGGCCUUCGGGUUGUAAACCCCUUUCACGGAGGGACGAAGGUUCACCGGUUAAUAGCCGUGUGGAUUGACGGUACCUUCACAAGAAGCACCGGCUAACGUACGUGCCAGCAGCCGC